GCGAUAGUAGCUCAGUUGGUAGAGCGUGGGCUUCCCAAGCCCAAGGUCGCGGGUUCGAACCCCGUCUAUCGCU
rnacentral:tRNA from 1 species